UGGGGAAUAUUGCACAAUGGGCGCAAGCCUGAUGCAGCAACGCCGCGUGAACGAUGAAGGUCUUCGGAUCGUAAAGUUCUGUUGCAGGGGAAGAUAAUGACGGUACCCUGUGAGGAAGCCCCGGCUAAAUACGUGCCAGCAGCCGCGGUAAUACGUAGGGGGCUAGCGUUAUCCGGAUUUACUGGGCGUAAAGGGUGCGUAGGUGGUCUUUCAAGUCGGUGGUUAAAGGCUACGGCUCAACCGUAGUUAGCCUCCGAAACUGGAAGACUUGAGUGCAGGAGAGGAAAGUGGAAUUCCCAGUGUAGCGGUGAAAUGCGUAGAUAUUGGGAGGAACACCAGUAGCGAAGGCGGCUUUCUGGACUGCAACUGACACUGAGGCACGAAAGCGUGGGUAGCAAACAGG
rnacentral:rRNA from 1 species